GACGAACGCUGGCGGCGUGCUUAACACAUGCAAGUCGAACGGAAAGGCCCUGCUUUUGUGGGGUGCUCGAUUGGCGAACGGGUGAGUAACACGUGAGUAACCUGCCCUUGACUUUGGGAUAACUUCAGGAAACUGGGGCUAAUACCGGAUAGGAGCACCUGCUGCAUGGUGGGGGUUGGAAAGUUUCGGCGGUUGGGGAUGGACUCGCGGCUUAUCAGCUUGUUGGUGGGGUAGUGGCUUACCAAGGCUUUGACGGGUAGCCGGCCUGAGAGGGUGACCGGCCACAUUGGGACUGAGAUACGGACCAGACUCCUACGGGAGGCAGCAGUGGGGAAUAUUGCACAAUGGGCGGAAGCCUGAUGCAGCAACGCCGCGUGCGGGAUGACGGCCUUCGGGUUGUAAACCGCUUUCGCCUGUGACGAAGCGUGAGUGACGGUAAUGGGUAAAGAAGCACCGGCUAACUACGUG
rnacentral:rRNA from 1 species